rnacentral:tRNA from 1 species
GCCGCGUUCGUCUAGUGGCUAGGACACCAGGUUCUCAUCCUGGCAACACGGGUUCGAUUCCCGUACGCGGUA